rnacentral:rRNA from 1 species
GUAGUCUGCAACUCGACUACAUGAAGCUGGAAUCGCUAGUAAUCGCGGAUCAGAAUGCCGCGGUGAAUACGUUCCCGGGUCUUGUACACACCGCCCGUCACACCAUGGGAGUCAGUAACGCCCGAAGCCGGUGACCCAACCUAUUCUGGAGGGAGCCGUCGAAGGCGGGACGGAUGACUGGGGUGAAGUCGUAACAAGGUAGC